AUGCAGGCGAUUAUAAAAAGUCAGGAUCUAUUAUCUUACAGAGAUAAUGUAGGUGAUGCCACAAUGCUAGAACAGAAACAAGGGAAGCAACCGACCAAUUAUCGAACACAAUCAGGCAUUUCAGGAUAUGAGGUGUACACAGAUGCUGCAUGGAAAAUAAGUGCAGACUCUUUAUCUACAACAAUAGCUAAAGUAGGGAUUGGAAUCUUCAUCCAACCAGCAGGGGAACAUAAAAAGGAGGAGUUUACAUAUCAGCAGCAGGUGCACAAGUCAACUCUCCCCUCAAAGCAGAAGCCCUUGCACUCAAGGUUGCUGCACAGAUUGCCACAGCUUUGA
rnacentral:rRNA from 1 species